rnacentral:rRNA from 1 species
AGUGAACGCUGGCGGCAGGCCUAACACAUGCAAGUCGAACGGCAGCAUAGUGCGUGCUCGCGGAUUCGGGUGGAGAGUGGUGGAUGGUGCCGGGAAAUAUGGGAGGUUACUUUGUAGAGGGUGCUAAAACAGGGAAAAAUACGCCAAACGUGCAUACGACGUAAGUGGGAGAGCAUGGGAUCUUAGGCCCUCGUGUGAGCGUAGGAGCGGAUGUCGGAUUGGCUAGUUAGCGGGGUAAAGGCGCAACAAGGCGACGAUCGGUAACUGGUAUGAGAGGAUGAUUAGCCACACUGUAACUGAGACACGGUCCAGACUCCUACGGGAGGCAGCAGUGGGGAAUAUUGGACAAUGGGCGAAAGCCUGAUCCAGCCAUGCCGCGUGUGUGAAGAAGGCCUUCGGAUUGUAAAGCCCUUUAGGUUGGAAGGAAGAGCAGCAAGUUAAUACCCCGCUGUUCUGACGGUACCCACAGAAUAAGCACCGGCUAACUUCGUG